UACGGAGGGUGCAAACGUUGCUCGGAAUCAUUGGGCGUAAAGCGCACGUAGGCGGUCCGCUAAGUCGGAUGUGAAAGCCCUCGGCUUAACCGAGGAAGUGCAUUCGAAACUGACGGUCUUGAAUAUGGAAGAGGGUCGCGGAAUUCCCGGUGUAGAGGUGAAAUUCGUAGAUAUCGGGAGGAACACCGGUGGCGAAGGCGGGUCUCUGGGCCUUACCUGACGCUGAGACGCGAAAGCGUGGGGAGCGAACCGG
rnacentral:rRNA from 1 species